CCCCCGACACAUAACAGCUUUCGAACCAAACCUGUUCCUUCUUCCUUAAUGGCCACAAACAUCCUCCAAGCAAAAUGGAACCACCACUCCGAAGAAGACGAAGAUCACAAAGACAAUGAGCAACAAGAAGAAGAAGAAGAAGAUGAUGAAGCAUUGUCACUCUGCGAUCUUCCGAUCAACCUCGAGGACCCACCGGGAAACCAAGAACACUCUCGCCCCAACGAAACAUCGCAAGAAGAAUUCAAUUUCCGGUUAUGGCGUGCUCCCUUUAACAAAGAGCCCGAAAUGUGUGCAGCGGAUGAAGUCUUCUUCAAGGGCCAAAUCCUCCCGUUGCGCGUCUCGUUCAGCUCCGAGG
rnacentral:misc_RNA from 1 species